rnacentral:rRNA from 1 species
GAUGAGCGCUGGCGGCGUGCCUAAUACAUGCAAGUCGAGCGAACUGAUUAGAAGCUUGCUUCUAUGACGUUAGCGGCGGACGGGUGAGUAACACGUGGGCAACCUGCCUGUAAGACUGGGAUAACUUCGGGAAACCGAAGCUAAUACCGGAUAGGAUCAUCUCCUUCAUGGGAGAUGAUUGAAUGAUGGUUUCGGCUAUCACUUACAGAUGGGCCCGCGGUGCAUUAGCUAGUUGGUGAGGUAACGGCUCACCAAGGCAACGAUGCAUAGCCGACCUGAGAGGGUGAUCGGCCACACUGGGACUGAGACACGGCCCAGACUCCUACGGGAGGCAGCAGUAGGGAAUCUUCCGCAAUGGACGAAAGUCUGACGGAGCAACGCCGCGUGAGUGAUGAAGGCUUUCGGGUCGUAAAACUCUGUUGUUAGGGAAGAACAAGUACAAGAGUAACUGCUUGUACCUUGACGGUACCUAACCAGAAAGCCACGGCUAACUACGUGCCAGCCGCCGCGGUAAAAC